CGGAAACUGCACACGGCGAGGGCAGGGGCAGGGGGCUCGGCGCACGGCCCGGGCCGCCCUGCACGCGGUGUUCCCCGCUCUGCGCCCGGCCCUUCCCUCCAUCGCCCCGGCGCACGUAGGGCGGCUUCUGGGAACUGAUGCCUGGUGGCCCGUGUGCACAGCUCGGUGAGCCGCGCGGCCCGCCAGUGACUCAGCGCGGGGCGGGUGCGGGCAGCGCCCGGCCCCGGAGGGUUUUUGCACUCGCCCCAGCUCCUUUCCGCUAUAAAAGCAGCCCACCGCCCGCUCCGCUCCAGCACGCCCCUUCGGCAUCCUCGCCAUCCUUUGCUCAGCCGUUUCCGGACCCCAGCCUCCGCUUCAGCUCGCCAUGGAUCCCAACUGCUCCUGCACCGCGGGUGAAUCCUGCACGUGCGCCGGCUCCUGCAAAUGCAAAGAUUGCAAGUGCGCCUCCUGCAAGAAGAGCUGCUGCUCCUGCUGCCCCAUGGGCUGUGCCAAGUGUGCCCAGGGCUGCAU